UACAGAGACUGCAAGCGUUAUUCGGAUUCACUGGGCGUAAAGGGUGCGCAGGCGGUCGUGUGUGUCAGGUGUGAAAGCCCGGGGCUUAACCCCGGAAUUGCGCCUGAAACUACAUGACUAGAGCAUUGGAGAGGGUAGCGGAAUUCACGGUGUAGCAGUGAAAUGCGUAGAUAUCGUGAGGAACACCAGAGGCGAAGGCGGCUACCUGGACAAUUGCUGACGCUCAGGCACGAAAGCGUGGGGAGCAAAAGGGAUUAGAAACCCCCGUAGUCC
rnacentral:rRNA from 1 species